rnacentral:rRNA from 1 species
GACAGAGGAUGCAAACGUUGCUCGGAAUUACUGGGCGUAAAGCGCGUGUAGGCGGGUCUUUAAGUCAGGGGUGAAAUGCCAAGGCUCAACCUUGGAACUGCCUUUGAUACUGGAGACCUUGAGUCCGGAAGAGGUGAGUGGAAUUGCGAGUGUAGAGGUGAAAUUCGUAGAUAUUCGCAAGAACACCAGUGGCGAAGGCGGCUCACUGGCCCGGAACUGACGCUGAGACGCGAAAGCGUGGGGAGCAAACAGG